CAACAAUGUGGAGCCCCCAGGAGCUCCACUGCAGCCCCAGCACUGUGUCUGGCUCUGUGGUCCUAUCAUAAAUGUGUGAGGGCUGAUGCUGGGAACGCUCAUGCUGGACAGUUAGAGAGCAAGAAAGCGAUGGCAGGCUGGAGAUAAAGCUGCACACAGACCCACACAUUCCUGUCUAGUUUGGUGGAACCACUUAAGGCAGGCUGCUAUAAUGUGCAGGAAUCUGCCUACUCUGUGAAAAUGAGGUGAUGCCUUCAUCACGGCCAGGAGCCAGCUUGAAAAUUAUUGUCUCUUCUCCCUGCCCCAAGGUGAGAAAGAAUACGGAGAAGCUGGUGAAAAGAUGCCCAGUGCACUGCACCGCUGGAAUAGUCAGCUUUCUAGACAGCACAAAACCAGCAAAGGGUACUCUUACUGGCAGGAAAUGUCAUUUUUUAUCAGCAUGCCCCAGCAGAUGAGUAAUACACUGUGCUUUCAAUAAUCCCAAAUGAUCUCAAAGAAUUUCUGUGGGUAUUAUCUUCAUCUGGGCACUUCCAUAUCUAUGGAACAGCAUGUUAUGAUGAUGAAUCUUUCUUGCACAGUUAUUCUUCAGGAAAUAAAGAGCAG
rnacentral:lncRNA from 1 species